rnacentral:lncRNA from 1 species
UGCCGACAGAACAAUCAGUUAUUUAUUAUUAUUUUUCUUAUUUAUCUGAAAGGGAAAAUCAUAUUAAUCAUAUUCUGUGCUCGUUAACCAGUGAGUAAAACUUUUAGGGUGGGUCUGUUUCCACAACCAAAAUCUAUUUACAUGAGACCAUUAACAAGUUGUUUGUAAGGUGAAUAAUUAAUUGAUUUUUAUAUCAAAUUUGGACAAUUCCAAUGAUAUCUAUUCAAUUUGAAUUCCAAGAAUUUGAUGUUUCAAAUUGAAUUGCACCCAAACUUUAUUGCUGUUACCUCCCUCCCUCUGCUUUCUUCUUACAAGUUGUGAUGGUGAGGGAGCUCCUUUAGUUUUUUUCUUUCUUGAAGCAAUCUAAGUCCAAUAACUACUUUGAUAUUAGGCAUUGUCUUACAAAUAUUUUGUUCUUCUGUGGCCUUCAAUCUCCCAUCUGGUCACCAUCAUUGCUGGAGUUCAAGUGUUGGACCCCUCUGUUUUGGACUUGGUGAGCUUUUGUAUAUGGAGUGCUAAAAGAAAUGAACUUAAUGGCAAGGCUUUAGGUUGGUGUUAAAAAAAUAAGGGUGCUAUUGCUGGUGAUGGCUUCAGAACUCUAGUGCUACAAAAAUUGCUUUGGCAUCGGUCAUGUCAGUUAAAUAUUCGAAUUCUUCUGGUGUUACUGCUGAGUAAUUAAUUUGGCUUUUUGCAGAAAGGGUGGGUUAGUGUGGCUUUUUGCAGAGAGGGAUGAAUGAGGGGUGACCCCAGGAGAAGAUAGUGUUUGGAUGCUUAGCUAGAAAGAAUGUAGGAAGAUAAUGUGGGUCGCAUUGAUAUUUUUCCUUAGAUUAGAGUUUGAUGAUGUGGAGAUAGAACUUCUAUUGGUAAUUUAUAAGCUUUCCUUGAACCAAAUUUGUGUUCUUGGUUCCCAAGUCAUUGACCAGUAUAACCACAUUUCAUAAUUUGGUAGCACACCCUGUUUCCUUAUUCUGCAUUUUGUUAGCUUGGGAAACG